rnacentral:rRNA from 1 species
UACGUAGGGUGCAAGCGUUACUCGGAAUUACUGGGCGUAAAGCGUGCGUAGGUGGUUCGUUAAGUCUGAUGUGAAAGCCCUGGGCUCAACCUGGGAAUGGCAUUGGAAACUGGCGAUCUAGAGUGCGGUAGAGGGUAGUGGAAUUCCCGGUGUAGCAGUGAAAUGCGUAGAGAUCGGGAGGAACAUCUGUGGCGAAGGCGACUGCCUGGACCAGCACUGACACUGAGGCACGAAAGCGUGGGGAGCAAACAGG